UACGUAGGGUGCAAGCGUUGUCCGGAAUUAUUGGGCGUAAAGAGCUCGUAGGCGGUCUGUCGCGCGGCUGUGAAAACCCGAGGCUCAACCUCGGGCCUGCAGUCGAUACGGGCAGACUAGAGUGUGGUAGGGGAGACUGGAAUUCCUGGUGUAGCGGUGAAAUGCGCAGAUAUCAGGAGGGAACACCGGCGGCGAAGGCGGGUCUCUGGGCCAUAACUGACGCUGGAGGAGCGAAAAGCGUGGGGAGCGAACAGG
rnacentral:rRNA from 1 species